UACAGAGGGGGCUAGCGUUGUUCGGAAUUACUGGGCGUAAAGGGCGCGUAGGUGGCCUGUUAAGUCGGACGUGAAAUCCCCGGGCUCAACCUGGGAACUGCGUCCGAUACUGGAUGGCUUGAAUCCGGGAGAGGGAUGCAGAAUUCCAGGUGUAGCGGUGAAAUGCGUAGAUAUCGAGAGGAACACCUGCGGCGAAGGCGGGUUGCUGGGCUGACACUGACGCUGAGGCGCGAAAGCUAGGGGAGCGAACGGG
rnacentral:rRNA from 1 species